GACGAACGCUGGCGGCGUGCUUAACACAUGCAAGUCGAACGGAAAGGCCCUGCUUUUGUGGGGUGCUCGAGUGGCGAACGGGUGAGUAACACGUGAGUAACCUGCCCUUGACUUUGGGAUAACUUCAGGAAACUGGGGCUAAUACCGGAUAGGAGCUCCUGCUGCAUGGUGGGGGUUGGAAAGUUUCGGCGGUUGGGGAUGGACUCGCGGCUUAUCAGCUUGUUGGUGGGGUAGUGGCUUACCAAGGCUUUGACGGGUAGCCGGCCUGAGAGGGUGACCGGCGACAUUGGGACUGAGAGACGGCCCAGACUCCUACGGGAGGCAGCAGUGGGGAAUAUUGCACAAUGGGCGGAAGCCUGAUGCAGCAACGCCGCGUGCGGGAUGACGGCCUUCGGGUUGUAAACCGCUUUCGCCUGUGACGAAGCGUGAGUGACGGUAAUGGGUAAAGAAGCACCGGCUAACUACGUG
rnacentral:rRNA from 1 species